rnacentral:rRNA from 1 species
ACUUUCAACAACGGAUCUCUUGGCUCUCGCAUCGAUGAAGAACGCAGCGAAAUGCGAUACGUAAUGUGAAUUGCAGAAUUCAGUGAAUCAUCGAAUCUUUGAACGCACCUUGUGCCCCUUGGCAUUCCGAGGGGCACACCCGUUUGAGUGUCGUGAAAU